GCAGAGUAGCUGUCGACAUUAUAGUUGCGCAGGCAUUUAGGUGACUCUAGAGAACCUCGGGCCAAUCGCACGUCCCUGUGACGGCGACGACGCAUUCGGAUGUCUGCCCUAUCAACUUUCGAUGAACUUUCUGCACCUACCAUGGUGACCACAGGUAACGGGGAAUCAGGGUUAGAUUCCGGAGAGGAAGCCUGAGAAAUGGCUACUACAACCAAGGAAGGCAGCAGGCGCGCAAAUUACCCACUCCCGAACGGGGAGAUAGUGAC